rnacentral:rRNA from 1 species
GACGAACGCUGGCGGCGCGCUUAACACAUGCAAGUCGAACGGAAAGGCCUGCUUUCCCUUGUGGAUUGCGGGUACUCGAGUGGCGAACGGGUGAGUAACACGUGAGUGAUCUGCCCCCAACUUGGGUAUAAGCCUGGGAAACUGGGUCUAAUUCCCGAUAGGACUGCAGGGUGGUGCCUGUGGUGGAAAACGAUCUUCUAGUGGUUGGGGAUGAGCUCGCGGCCUAUCAGCUUGUUGGUGGGGUAAUGGCCUACCAAGGCGGCGACGGGUAGCCGGCCUGGGAGGGUGGACGGCCGCAUUGGGACUGAGAUACGGCCCAGACUCCUACGGGAGGCAGCAGUGGGGAAUAUUGCACAAUGGGCGGAAGCCUGAUGCAGCGACGCCGCGUGGGGGAUGACGGCCUUCGGGUUGUAAACUCCUUUCGACCGCGAGGAAGCCACCUGGUUGGAAGGGUGGUGACGGUAGUGGUAGAAGAAGCACCGGCUAACUACGUG